GCGAAAGAUGACAAACAGAAAGACUCAGAAGAGUUUAAGACUCAACCAAAAUGACCAGGCUUACCCAUCUUUCAUUUUUAAUUCAUAGACAGGGAUAUUUGUAAAUCACUUUAUAGGACAAAUUUUCAAUCAAGAUUAAUAUCAGGCUCUCCUACUUGGUCCAUUGGAACCGGAAUGCAAUUGGCCUUCAUCGAAAGCACACAAGCCUUCUAAUGUGGUAAUCCAUUACAGAUGAAUGCUACAACUUAGAUAUGGAGAAGUUUUUUCCAUGAAGACUGCAUGACCAUGCCAAAUAAAAUGGAUCUGGAAGAGUGAUAAAAGCCCUAAAGGGAAAAUCUCGAAAGCGAUACCUAAUACCUUGUCGCUAAUUGCAAAUGAUGCCAUAAGAAAAUGUGCCCCCCAAAACUAGCAUCUCAUUCAAGAUAUGAAUAAUAUGUAAAU
rnacentral:misc_RNA from 1 species